ensembl:misc_RNA Metazoa_SRP Metazoan signal recognition particle RNA
GCCGGGCAUGAUGGCGGGUGCCUGUAAUCCCAGCUACUUGGGAGGCUGAGGCAGGAGAAUUGCUUGAGCCCAGGAGGUGGAGGUUGCAGUGAGCUGAGGUCGCUGCCACUGCCCUCCAGCCUGGGCAACAGAGCGAGACCCUGUUGCAA